rnacentral:tRNA from 2 species
CAGAGGGUAGUUUAACUUUAGAAUGCUAGCUUUGGGAGCUAGUGGUGGGAGUUCAAGCCUCUUCCCUUUGG